CGACCUUCAGGUGGUCCUCGUCCCUCGGGUCGGGGCUCCUCUGGUGUUGGGGUUAUCUACAGCGGGGUUUAAUCCCCCCGGUAGGCCCUUAAAGUCAGUGGCGGGCUCGCCGCGGUGUUCCAAGCGUAGUAGCUAUGUCUUUUCGCUUAGGGUCGCCGGCGGGUUGCUAGCCGUGAAACCCCCCUAAUUUAUUACAA
rnacentral:misc_RNA from 2 species